rnacentral:pre_miRNA from 1 species
AAAGUACUCCCUCUGUCCCAAAAUUCUUGUCUUAGAUUUGUCUAGAUAAGGAUGUAUCAAGUCACAUUUUAGUAUUAGAUACAUCCGUAUCUAGACAAAUCUAAGACAAGAAAUUUGGGACAGAGGGAGUAGUUG